rnacentral:lncRNA from 1 species
GGGCCUCCUUUAGCAAGCAAGAAGAAAUCUGCAGGAACUGGGCCCGGGAAAAAGUCAAACCUUCUUGGUCAGAAGGCGUCGGCCCUGAACAGGGAGACCUCUGGCAGGUUUAAAUCUGCUUCAGCACCAUCCACUUCAAAAGCAACAUUGAUGAAACAGUGUGAGAACUUGUUGAAAAAGUUGAUGUCGCAUCAGCAUGGUCCCGUGUUUAAUGAGCCUGUUGACAUAGUUAAGUUAAAAAUACCCGACUAUUUCACUGUGAUUAAACAUCCAAUGGAUUUGGGGACAAUAAAGAAGAGGCUUACUUCAGGUGCGUACUUGAGUCCACUGGAAUUUCUUGCUGAUGUGAGACUGACAUUCUCCAAUGCAAUGAUCUAUAACCCCCCUGGUAAUAUUGUCCAUAUCAUGGCUGAUACAAUGAGCAAGUUUUUUGAACUAAGAUGGAAAACUAUUGAGAAAAAGCUACCUGUUAACCAUGCUGAAUCAGUGGAAGAAAAAUCCGGUUUGCAUGAAGAAAAUGAAACUGCUUCAAAGAAGAGGAGACUUUCUCCAAUGCAGCAUGUAAUUAUGCCAGAACCUCCUAAAUGCAAGAUGACUGAUGAAGAGAAACAUAAACUAAGCAGUGAACUAGAAGCUU